GGUUCUGUGGUGUAAUGGGCAGCACUUUGGACUUUGAAUCCAAUGAUCUGAGUUCAAAUCUCAGUAGAACCA
rfam:Chelonia mydas contig136632, whole genome shotgun sequence.